GACUACUCGGGUAUCUAAUCCUGUUUGAUCCCCACGCUUUCGUGUCUGAGUGUCAGUGUCUGGCCAGUAAGCCGCCUUCGCCUCCGGUAUUCCUCCUGAUAUCUACGUAUUUCACCACUACACCAGGAAUUCUACUUACCUCUCCAGCACUCAAGCUUCGCAGUAUCAAAUGCACUUCCAGGGUUGAGCCCUGGGAUUUCACACCUGACUUACAAAGCCACAUGCACCCGCUUUACGCCCAAUGAUUCCGAACAACGCUAGGAUCCCUCGUCUUACCGCGGCUGCUGGCACGAAGUUAGCCGAUCCUUUCUUGCAUGGUACAUUCACUGUCUUAUUCCCAUGCGACAGAGCUUUACAACCCGAAGGCCUUCAUCGCUCACGCGGCGUCGCUGCAUCAGAGUUUCCUCCAUUGUGCAAUAUUCCCCACUGCAGCCACCCGUAGG
rnacentral:rRNA from 1 species